CACUCCAGGACAAUGACAGUUUAAUUCGAGGAUAAACAGCCAAAUCCUCAUCCAGGUGUUACCUAAUUAACAAAGAAUGGCUGACUUACCUAGCAGAUUAAUGAAGUGUGGCAAUUGUCAGCUAAGCUGGACUUGAGUGUUUGUUUAAGAACCCCUUCAUUUGCACAUUGAUAAUAAAGAUAGUUUUUAUUGAUUGCUGCAAUAGACCUUUAAAAUCUAACAAGACAAUUCAGAGACGUGUCACAGCUUUCUAAGUAAUGUCACAGCUGAAGGAGGAAUUCACAGCAAGGAAAACGAAUUCAUAGUCAGCAAGAUAACUAUUGUACAACAAUUACUGCCAGCUGAGCAAUCUUCAGAAAAAGACCUUCCUCGAAACAUGCCCCAGAGAGUAAUCUCUAGAACUGUGAAGCAUUGACAAGUAAUUCAGUGAUGAUCCCAUCCGCAACAGUUGGAACAAGUGGUGGAUUCCCUACACUGCUUCAGUUUGGAACAUACGAUGGAAUCUCUACAUUGAUGGAUUCUCUGCAUUGUUUGGAACAUACGAUGAAUUCUCUACACUGUUUGGAACAUAAGAUGGAUUAUCUGCAUUGUUUAAAAUAUUCGGUGAAUUCUCUAUAUUGUUUCAGUUAGAACAAGUGGUGGAUUCCCUACACUGCUUCAGUUUGGAACAUACAAUGGAUUCUUUACAUUGAUGGAUUCUCUACACUGUUUGGAACAUACGAUGGAUUCUCAGCACUGCUUCACUUUGGAACAUGUGGUUGAUUUUCUACAUUGUUUCAGUAUCAUAAUUCUUAUAAUUCAAGUAUAUUCAUCUAAUGAUAUCUUUAAAAGAGUAUGAACUCUUGCUACAAAACUGCUGUAAAAUGUCAACUUUUUAAAAAAAAAAUUCCGGUGUAAA